UACUAGAGUAGCACUCGCAUAUCAAUAAGCGGAGGAAAAGAAACUAACAAGGAUUCCCCUAGUAACGGCGAGUGAAGCGGGAAGAGCUCAAAUUUGAAAUCUUAAAGGGUUUCCCUUUACGAAUUAGUAGUUUAAAGAAGUGUUUUCUGUUGAGGUUUUGGUAAAAGUUCUUUGGAAUAGGACAUCAUAGAGGGUGAGAAUCCCGUAUUUGACCUUUACUUUCAACUUUGUGAUACACUUUCAAAGAGUCGGAUUGUUUGGGAAUGCAGUCCAAAAUGGGUGGUAAAUUUCAUCUAAAGCUAAAUAUUGGCGAGAGACCGAUAGCGAACAAGUACCGUGAGGGAAAGGAUGAAAAGAACUUUGAAAAGAGAGUUAAACAGUACGUGAAGUUGUCAAAAGGGAAGCGUUUGACACCAGUGUUGUUUUUCUGAAAAUCAAUUAAAGAACUGUUUAUGCUAAGUUGUUUAGACUUUAUCAGCUAACUGUUUAGUUUUGAGCUUUUCCUUAAUGCACUUUUCAGUUAACAAGUCAACAUCAAUUUCUUUUGCUGUAAAAAAGCUUGAGGAAGGUGGCUUGAGAUUCGUCUUAAGUGUUUAUAGCCUCUUGCCUAUGCAGUCGGAGAGAUUGAGGUCUGCAGCGUAGAUCCUUCGGGGCUAAAUGCAUUUGUGCUAAGUUAUAGCAUUUUAUAGACAACUUGUUGACUAUGAUUUGUCUUGUAGCUUACUCGCUUAUGUUAUUUUACCUACGCUUAGGAUGUUGAUCUCUCACAGUCGAGC
rnacentral:rRNA from 1 species